UUGACCUCAAAUCAGGUAGGACUACCCGCUGAACUUAAGCAUAUCAAUAAGCGGAGGAAAAGAAACUAACAAGGAUUCCCCUAGUAACUGCGAGUGAAGCGGGAAAAGCUCAAAUUUAAAAUCUGGCGGUCCUUGUGGCCGUCCGAGUUGUAAUUUAGAGAAGUGUUAUCCGCGCUGGACCGUAUACAAGUCUCCUGGAAUGGAGCGUCAUAGAGGGUGAGAAUCCCGUCUUUGAUACGGACUGCCAGGGCAUUGUGAUGCGCUCUCAAAGAGUCGAGUUGUUUGGGAAUGCAGCUCAAAAUGGGUGGUAAAUUCCAUCUAAAGCUAAAUAUUGAGGAGAGACCGAUAGCGAACAAGUACCGUGAGGGAAAGAUGAAAAGAACUUUGGAAAGAGAGUUAAACAGUACGUGAAAUUGCUGAAAGGGAAACGCUUGAAGUCAGUCGCGUUGUUCAGGACUCAGCCUUGCUUUGCUUGGUGUACUUCCUGUUCGACGGGUCAGCAUCAAUUUUGGUCGGUGGAUAAAGGCUUAGAGAAUGUGGCAUCCUCGGAUGUGUUAUAGCUCUGGGUCGCAUACAUCGGCUGGGAUUGAGGAACUCAACACGCCGCAAGGCCGGGUACUUGUACCACGUACG
rnacentral:rRNA from 1 species